ensembl:lncRNA
GGGUCCCCCAGGUUCACCUUCAGGGUGCCGGGGUGCUGCUUGUGGGUGACAAGGAAGGAGACCCCAAGGACUUAUCGUGGGGUAGUCAUAGUGUUCCAAGCACGCACCGUGGCAGGCAAGUUUCACACCCUGUGGAAAUCUUACCUGCUGGGCUGCACGGCAGGGCUGGCUCUGCUCAUGCUGGGUGGAGCUCACGCCUCUGCCUCUGGGGGCUUUUCACUCUGGGGGAGUCUGCUCAGCCUUCCUGCCAGCCCUGAGCAGCCUGGGAGAGAGGAGGGCUUCCUCCACCCAGCAGGGGAGCUCUGACCCUCUGCCCAGGUCCCCCAGGGCUCUCCAUCCAGGCCUUAGUUGUCAUGAGGGUGUCCAUGCACCUGUCUGGGCAGUUCCUCCCACUGCACUUCACUCUCCCUGCCCCUUCCCUGGCUCCCUGGAUCCCCCCAACAUGGACACAGAGCCUCUGCUUCCUGGGGGCCUUGCUGGGAGGCUUCCGUCAUCCUCAGGCCGACCUGCAGCUGUGUGCAAUGGGUGCUGGGGAGCCAGGUCAGCAUCAGGCCCCCGCUCAACCCUCCACAUACACUCAUACCACACACACAUGCUUACCACACACAUGCACACCACACUGCACAUACCACACACACACACACACCACAUACACACACAGCUCACACCACACACACAUGCUUACCACACACAUACACACCACACACCACACUGCACAUACCACACACACACAUACAUCCCAUAUACACAUACAACACACACAGCUCAUACCACACACUUACCACACACAUACAUACCACUCUACACUACAUACACUCUACACACUUACUACACACAUAUCACAUACACUGUGCACACACAUGUUUACCACACACAUACCCCACACUCACACUAUACACAUAGCAACACACACAGCUCACACCACAUACACAUGUACUACAUACACACACUCAUACCACACACACACACACACUAUACAUACUCACCAUACAUGCUUACCACACACAUGCCACACUGACACCAUUCACCUUCACAACACACACCCUACACACACAUUCACAACACCACACACAUUCACACCACACAUAUGCACGCACACACACACUACCCCAUACAUACUUGCUACAUGUAUGCAUUCCACACAUACCACACAUACACUCACCAUGCACCCACUCAUACCGCAACACACCCACAAUACUGCACACAAUACCACAUACACCCCUACCAUUCUACAAUACACACAUGCACACAGUACUGCAUAUGCAUGCACACAGGACACACAUACCAUACACAGGACACACAAACACCAUACACUACACACACAUAUGCUGCUUGCACAUGCAUGGAGCACAGCUGCACAUGUGCACAAGCCCCAUGCAGACACACACACACACUCGCUGCAUAUAGAGGCCGUGGUCUCUGUGGCUCCUCUCUGAUCCCUGUGCAGAGUAGUGGCAAGACAAGGCCUGGUCUAUAACUGGGAGUCCCAUGCUCCCACCCUUGUGGCCACACAGUGACCCCGGGCUCUUUGCCUUUGUGGUCAUUUUGGAGAACAC